CAAGUUAAAGCUUUUAGUAAGCAUUAUUAUUUACAUUAAUAAGAUGAGGGUUAAAUUCCUUCUAAUUUGA
rnacentral:tRNA from 1 species